rnacentral:tRNA from 1 species
ACUCUAAUAGUUUAUGAAAAACAUUGGUCUUGUAAACCAAAAACUGAAG